GAGCGUAUUGACAAUUGGAACAUGAUCACGUGGGCUCUACUGGCAUCAUUCUGAAAACAAGACGAUGCCUUGGCUAUCCCAAACAUUUUAAUCUUUCCAGUGAAGGAAUUUGCCGCUAUUGGCACGUUCAUGAGUCAAUAUCGACCAGCCCGUACCUCCCCAGUCCUUCUUCGACGGAUGAGUCCGUAGCGCGCGCCCUAUUCAACGGAUCUCCAUCUAAACCAACGUACACUCUACGAAACCAAACGCGCAUUAACACAGCAUCUCCCUAGUCGGCAUCAGUAGGUCUGGAGGGUGCCACAAAUACAGUUGUAACUGCGUCGGUAAUGCCUCGUGGGAUGUGCAUAGUUUAAUCUGGUCUGCUUACGAGGCUCUGAUCGCAGCCGGCUGCGUUUCACCCAGCAAUGAAGUUAACCAGAUAUUUACGUGAAAAAAAAAAUAAUUUCAUGAACGUCGGUCAACGACUAACUGUUACAGGUCUAAUUGGCCUAACGGUAGGCACGAUUGCAACCUUUAUUUAUACGUACAUUGAUCUCAAGCUGACUCAGAGUGCUACUCGAGGAUCGCAGGAGUUGCAGGCAUUAACGCAGUCUAAACCGCAAAACUAAGCUGUUCGUAUACAGCGAUAGUUGAUGCUAGCUUUUCUUGUUGACCACUAGACGGGGAAAACGGUGAGUAAUCUACUAACGGGCUAGGUAGCCCGACGAAGGACUGGCCUCUGUUAGCUUCGGAGACAAAGCUAGACUCCAAGGGAUUCCGCAUUACAUAGCUCAAUGAUGUUACGGCGCCUCACUUAAAGAGACAGCAGAAGUUCUGGAGAGACAUGAUGGGUCUUGAGGCGAGCUGGUCCACUCUACAGUCGGACCAUGGAGUACAUACUAUAUCUAUCAAGCGAGACAACUCAAAGCUCAAGUUUUUAUCGCCUGCGGAGAAGAAGCCGGGUUCUUCAAAUAGAACAAAGACGGAGCAAUAAAUCAUCUUUACUUCGAAGUCGACAACGUCAAAGCUCCUAUAUAACACAUUAAGAAGCGCGGAAUCAGGUAAAUAUAGCAUAAUAAUAAAAUAUAAACAACGUUUCCAUAUCGCUACUUAGCUACACGAAUACUUCAAAUCGACUUCGUUUCAUUUAAUGAUGUAACUAGCUCCUUACUGAAUAGCAGCCUAUUACGGGGUAAAAGUUUUUGGCUAUAGGAAGUCAAGAAUUACUCAUCUGGGUUUCAUGGACCUCCGAUACUUCCGUGUUGGAAGUAAUGACAGCGAUGUCAAAAUGAAGAAAAUCAGUGGAUUAUCUGCUCGCUUUUCUUGUCUCUUUGUGGUAAUAUAGAAGCAACAAUAUUUAAUUGGUUUGCAUUAAAACGUUCCCACAAACGCCGUCAAGGCAUAAUGCCUCAAAGUGAUUCUACGUUAACUUCAAAUUUAUUUUGAUAAAAGCAAAUUCUCUCUACAUUUAAACAUUUUAAAUGUUCAUUCUCAAUCGAAGCACGCUUGUGUUACAUUAUGAACUAUGUAUUCUCUGGUUUUCUGCUGCGCCUUGUCGCUUGCGAGCUACACGUGUCUAAGUGAAGAACCGGAAAUAGGAGCGCACGGGAAACCGGUAGUGUUUCUUCAUCCGAAGACUUGCGGCAGCGUUCUCGUGGAGCUUGAAGAAAUUUAGAUUUAUAAUCCAAGUUUAAAUUAUAAGAAUGUUGCCUGCUCAAUAGAACUACAUGCCAUGAACGCCUAUAUCUCCGGUUAUUGACGUCUUAUCGUAUAUUAAAACUGUAAUGUAAAAUAAUGUAAUAAAAAACCCUUU